rnacentral:rRNA from 2 species
GGGUUGUGAGGUUAAGCGACUAAGCGUACACGGUGGAUGCCCUGGCAGUCAGAGGCGAUGAAGGGCGUGCUAAUCUGCGAUAAGCGCCGGUAAGGUGAUAUGAACCGUUAUAACCGGCGAUACCCGAAUGGGGAAACCCAGUGUGAUUCGUCACACUAUCAUUAACUGAAUCCAUAGGUUAAUGAGGCGAACCGGGGGAACUGAAACAUCUAAGUACCCCGAGGAAAAGAAAUCAACCGAGAUUCCCCCAGUAGCGGCGAGCGAACGGGGAGGAGCCCAGAGCCUGAAUCAGCAUGUGUGUUAGUGGAAGCGUCUGGAAAGGCGCGCGAUACAGGGUGACAGCCCCGUACACAAAAGCGCAUGUGCUGUGAGCUCGAUGAGUAGGGCGGGACACGUGGUAUCCUGUCUGAAUAUGGGGGGACCAUCCUCCAAGGCUAAAUACUCCUGACUGACCGAUAGUGAACCAGUACCGUGAGGGAAAGGCGAAAAGAACCCCGGCGAGGGGAGUGAAAAAGAACCUGAAACCGUGUACGUACAAGCAGUGGGAGCACAGGUUUACCUGUGUGACUGCGUACCUUUUGUAUAAUGGGUCAGCGACUUAUAUUCUGUAGCAAGGUUAACCGAAUAGGGGAGCCGGAGGGAAACCGAGUCUUAAUUGGGCGUUAAGUUGCAGGGUAUAGACCCGAAACCCGGUGAUCUAGCCAUGGGCAGGUUGAAGGUUGGGUAACACUAACUGGAGGACCGAACCGACUAAUGUUGAAAAAUUAGCGGAUGACCUGUGGCUGGGGGUGAAAGGCCAAUCAAACCGGGAGAUAGCUGGUUCUCCCCGAAAGCUAUUUAGGUAGCGCCUCGUGAAUUCAUCUCCGGGGGUAGAGCACUGUUUCGGCUAGGGGGCCAUCCCGGCUUACCAACCCGAUGCAAACUGCGAAUACCGGAGAAUGUUAUCACGGGAGACACACGGCGGGUGCUAACGUCCGUCGUGAAGAGGGAAACAACCCAGACCGCCAGCUAAGGUCCCAAAGUCAUGGUUAAGUGGGAAACGAUGUGGGAAGGCCCAGACAGCCAGGAUGUUGGCUUAGAAGCAGCCAUCAUUUAAAGAAAGCGUAAUAGCUCACUGGUCGAGUCGGCCUGCGCGGAAGAUGUAACGGGGCUAAACCAUGCACCGAAGCUGCGGCAGCGACACUGUGUGUUGUUGGGUAGGGGAGCGUUCUGUAAGCCUGUGAAGGUGUGUCGUGAGGCAUGCUGGAGGUAUCAGAAGUGCGAAUGCUGACAUAAGUAACGAUAAAGCGGGUGAAAAGCCCGCUCGCCGGAAGACCAAGGGUUCCUGUCCAACGUUAAUCGGGGCAGGGUGAGUCGACCCCUAAGGCGAGGCCGAAAGGCGUAGUCGAUGGGAAACGGGUUAAUAUUCCCGUACUUGGUGUUACUGCGAAGGGGGGACGGAGAAGGCUAUGUUGGCCGGGCGACGGUUGUCCCGGUUUAAGCGUGUAGGUGUGUGUUCCAGGUAAAUCCGGUUCACUUUAACACUGAGGCGUGACGACGAGGCACUACGGUGCUGAAGCAACAAAUGCCCUGCUUCCAGGAAAAGCCUCUAAGCAUCAGGUAACAUCAAAUCGUACCCCAAACCGACACAGGUGGUCAGGUAGAGAAUACCAAGGCGCUUGAGAGAACUCGGGUGAAGGAACUAGGCAAAAUGGUGCCGUAACUUCGGGAGAAGGCACGCUGACACGUAGGUGAAGUGAUUUACUCAUGGAGCUGAA